rnacentral:rRNA from 1 species
CACGUAGGGCGCAAGCGUUGUCCGGAAUUAUUGGGCGUAAAGAGCUCGUAGGCGGUCUGUUGCGUCUGCUGUGAAAACUCGGGGCUUAACCCCGAGCCUGCAGUGGAUACGGGCAGACUAGAGGUAGGUAGGGGGGAAUGGAAUUCCCGGUGUAGCGGUGAAAUGCGCAGAUAUCGGGAGGAACACCGGUGGCGAAGGCGGUUCUCUGGGCCUUACCUGACGCUGAGGAGCGAAAGCGUGGGGAGCGAGCAGG